rnacentral:rRNA from 1 species
CCUACGGGAGGCAGCAGUGAGGAAUAUUGGACAAUGGGCGCAAGCCUGAUCCAGCCAUGCCGCGUGCAGGAAGAAGCAUCUAUGGUGUGUAAACUGCUUUUGUACAGGAAGAAACACUCCCUCGUGAGGGAGCUUGACGGUACUGUAAGAAUAAGGACCGGCUAACUCCGUGCCAGCAGCCGCGGUAAUACGGAGGGUCCGAGCGUUAUCCGGAAUCAUUGGGUUUAAAGGGUCCGUAGGCGGUUUAAUAAGUCAGUGGUGAAAUCUGGUCGCUCAACGAUCAAACGGCCAUUGAUACUGUUAGACUUGAAUUAUAAGGAAGUAACUAGAAUAUGUAGUGUAGCGGUGAAAUGCUUGGAUAUUACAUGGAAUACCAAUUGCGAAGGCAGGUUACUACUUAUGGAUUGACGCUGAUGGACGAAAGCGUGGGGAGCGAACAGGAUUAGAUACCCUGGUAGUCCACGCCGUAAACGAUGGAUACUAGCUGUUCGGAGCAAUCUGAGUGGCUAAGCGAAAGUGAUAAGUAUCCCACCUGGGGAGUACGUUCGCAAGAAUGAAACUUAAAUGAAAUUGACGG